rnacentral:ribozyme from 1 species
UCGGCAUCGGCAUCGGACGAAAGCAGCAAGAAAUCCAAGAAGGACCGUGGAAGUGGAAGAAGCAAAAGCAAGUCCAAGUCCUCUCGCAAGA